rnacentral:rRNA from 1 species
CAGCACCUCAAGUGGUCAGGAUGAUUAUUGGGCCUAAAGCAUCCGUAGCCGGCGCUGUAAGUUUUCGGUUAAAUCUGUACGCUCAACGUACAGGCUGCCGGGAAUACUGCAGCGCUAGGGAGUGGGAGAGGUAGACGGUACUCGGUAGGAAGGGGUAAAAUCCUUUGAUCUAUUGAUGACCACCUGUGGCGAAGGCGGUCUACCAGAACACGUCCGACGGUGAGGGAUGAAAGCUGGGGGCACAAACCGGAUUAGAUACCCGAGUAGUCC